rnacentral:rRNA from 1 species
ACUCAAAUGAAUUGACGGGACCCCGCACAAGCGGUGGAGCAUGUGGAUUAAUUCGAUACUAACCGAAGAACCUUACCCAGACUUGACAUCGAUGGUAAGCCUUAGAAAUAGGGCCCUCUUCCCAAAAGGAAGACCUGAAGACACUUGUUGCAUGGCUGUCGUCAGCUCGUGCCGUGAGGUGUACGGUUAAGUCCGCCAACGAGCGCAACCCUCGUUCUAUGUUACCAGCACUAAAGGUGGGAACUCAUAGGAGACUGCCCGUGUAAGCGGGAGGAAGGUGAGGAUGACGUCAAGUCAGCAUGGCAGUUACGUCUGGGGCUUCACACAUGCUACAAUGGGCGAAACAAAGGGCAGCGAUACCGCGAGGUGGAGCCAAUCCCAAAAAUACGCCCCCAGUUCAGAUUGCAGUCUGCAACUCGACUGCAUGAAGGCGGAAUCGCUAGUAAACGCAGGUCAGCUAUACUGCGUUGAAUACGUUCCCGGGGUUUGUACACACCGCCCGU